rnacentral:rRNA from 1 species
CGACCGCUGGCGGCGUGCUUAACACAUGCAAGUCGACCGGAAAGGCCCUGCUUGCAGGGUCCUCGAGUGGCGAACGGGUGAGUAACACGUGGGUGAUCUGCCCUGCACUUCGGGAUAAGCCUGGGAAACUGGGUCUAAUACCGGAUAGGAGCCAUUUUUAGUGUGAUGGUUGGAAAGUUUUUUCGGUGUAGGAUGAGCUCGCGGCCUAUCAGCUUGUUGGUGGGGUAAUGGCCUACCAAGGCGGCGACGGGUAGCCGGCCUGAGAGGGUGGACGGCCACAUUGGGACUGAGAUACGGCCCAGACUCCUACGGGAGGCAGCAGUGGGGAAUAUUGCACAAUGGGCGCAAGCCUGAUGCAGCGACGCCGCGUGGGGGAUGACGGCCUUCGGGUUGUAAACUCCUUUCGCUAGGGACGAAGCUUUUUGUGACGGUACCUAGAUAAGAAGCACCGGCUAACUACGUG